rnacentral:rRNA from 1 species
CCUACGGGGUGCUGCAGUCGAGAAUCAUUCACAAUGGGGGAAACCCUGAUGGUGCGACGCCGCGUGUGGGAAUGAAGGUCUUCGGAUUGUAAACCCCUGUCAUGUGGGAGCAAAUUAAAAAGAUAGUACCACAAGAGGAAGAGACGGCUCACUCUGUGCCAGCCGCCGCGGUAAUACAGAGGUGUCAAGCGUUGUUCGGAAUCACUGGGCGUACAGCGUGCGGAGGCCGUUUCGUAAGUCGUGUGUGAAAGGCGCGGGCUCAAACCGAGAACGGCACAUGAUACUGCGACACUAGAGUAAUGGAGGGGGAACCGGAAUUCUCGGUGUAGCAGUGAAAUGCGUAGAUAU